UACAGAGGUCUCAAGCGUUGUUCGGAUUCAUUGGGCGUAAAGGGUGUGUAGGUGGCGCGCUAAGUCGGGUGUGAAAUUUCGGAGCUUAACUCCGAAACUGCAUUCGAUACUGCCGUGCUUGAGGACUGGAGAGGAGACUGGAAUUACGGUGUAGCGGUGAAAUGCGUAGAUAUCGAUAAGGAAGACCAGUGGCGAAGGCGGGUCUCUGGACAGUUCCUGACACUGAGACACGAAGGCCAGGGGAGCAAACGGG
rnacentral:rRNA from 1 species